GACGUAGGGCGCGAGCGUUGUCCGGAUUUAUUGGGCGUAAAGAGCUCGUAGGCGGCUUGUCGCGUCGACUGUGAAAACUCGGGGCUCAACUCCGAGCUUGCAGUCGAUACGGGCAGGCUAGAGUUCGGUAGGGGAGACUGGAAUUCCUGGUGUAGCGGUGAAAUGCGCAGAUAUCAGGAGGAACACCGAUGGCGAAGGCAGGUCUCUGGGCCGAUACUGACACUGAGGAGCGAAAGCGUGGGGAGCGAACAGG
rnacentral:rRNA from 1 species